GGCAGGAGAGGAGGGAGGCGAAGAGGCAGAGAUGAGACUGGCUGCUGAACAGCCAUGGUUGUCUCCUCCUCCUGCUGGCAGAUGGGGCUCAACAACCUUUGAAGAUAGCCCUGUCAGGAGAAGGAAACGCCAUACACAUCGCCCAGGGUAGGUCACUUGGGUGGUGCUAACGGAGAGGUUUGACCUCACCCCCAGAGUUGCACUCCAUGGUCUCUCAAGACAGACGGAGGCCAACAACAGGGGAACAACAGUUCUCCAUAGCUGACCCACCAUCGUUUUAGCCAAACAAUAGCCAGUCCACUUCUGGCGGUUGCCUCCCUGCGAGAAGUGAGGUUACAGGGAACCAGGCAGAGGGGCCUUCUCGGUAGUGGCACUUUCCCAUCAGAUGUCAAGGAAAUAAACAACUAUCUGAAUUUUAGAAGACAUCUGAAGGCAGCCCUGUUUAGGGAAGUUUUUUUAAUGUUUGAUGUUUUAUUGUGUUUUUAAUACAGUGGUACCUCGGGUUAAGUACUUAAUUCGUUCUGGAGGUCCGUACUUAACCUGAAACUGUUCUUAACCUGAAGCACCACUUUAGCUAAUGGGGCCUCCUGCUGCUGCCGCCGGAGCCCAAUUUCUGUUCUCAUCCUGAAGCAAAGUUCUUAACCUGAAGCACUAUUUCUGGGUUAGUGGAGUCUGUAACCUGAAGCGUAUGUAACCUGAAGCGUAUGUAACCCAAGGUACUACAGUAUUCUGUUGGGAGCCACCCAGAGAGGCUGGGGGAACCCAGCCAGAUGGGUAGGGUAUAAACAAUAAAAUAUUACUAUUACUAUUACUAUUACUAUUACCGUACUAUUAUUUUGCCCACACUCACUUAGUGGUGGUAUUUUCCUAUGGUUCCACCGAAACAGAGGCCUAGGGAGCCAUAAGUAGGUGAAUAUGUUUUAAGAUGGGUCCCCAUGAAAUGGCUGCUACAGGUCAUUCUGUAAUUCACGGAAGGGAUAAAAUGAGAGCAACUAGUAGAUUAAAAUGUCUGAUGAUCUGAAGUCCCAUGAUCUGAUCCAAUCCUGAACAACAACAACUGUUGGCCUUAGUUUUAAUUGCACAACUCGUAAGAAAGUGGGCUUUUUUUCACAAACAUCUUAUCAAUAAACUGUGAAAUGUACAUUCUCAAAAAGAUCUGGAAGCAGUUUAUCAUCCCCCCACUGCCCAUAUUUGCAUUUCUAAAGGCAUCCCACAGUUUUGAAAAUUAUUUGUAUGAAGCGCCUUAGGCCAUUCUGUCAAGCCUUUGUUUAGAGCCAAAAUUUUGCUGAAGCUCUCCCAACAUGGGAAGAGAAAGUGUCACAAAAUACCUGAGUGUUUCUGGUGCCUGUGUAGUCUAAGAUUUGUGUGAUCAUUUACUUUAUUGUUCUUUAUAUUCUUAGCCAAGGGAGAAAUUUAUUCUGAAUCUGAUAUGGGGCAUGUCCAAUACUAAUGAUCAAGCUAAAAUUGUAUUGUUAUUGUCUAACCAAGAUAAAUUUGUUAUAGAUAGGGUAACCAGAUUUGUGGUGAUUGUUUAAAAGUUAAGGAAAAUGUUUGCUGAGGAUAAUUUGGUGAACUGUAAAAAUGUUAUAUGAUACACAAGUUAUUGAUUAUAGCCCCCGUAUAUAAAUCUAAGGAAAAAGCAUAUUGAUUUUAAUUCUGCAACUUCCAGAGAAGCUAUAUAUUGUUGGCUGGGUUUGGGGGGGGGGGGUUUACACUGCUGAUAACAUGUUUCUUUCUUGUUUUAUUUAUAGUUUAAGAUUGCUGCAAUGGCCAUAAUGGUUGAAACAAUAAAUACUUAUGCAGGGAGGAAGUCAAUCUCAAAAUCCCCAACCUGCAGUUUGGAGUGGUACUUUCCAGUGGAAACAUGUGAUCUGUUCUCUGUGAUGGGUGUACCUGAACAGCAAAAGGGGAUGGCUUUUCUCCAGAAAAGGGAGAUGUUAACACUUGGAGAAUGCAGGCUGAAGAGAAAGAUUCCAUCAAUUACAAAACCGAUUUAAACAUCUUUUGAUUGCAAUUGACUGAUAGCUUAGUGGGG
rnacentral:lncRNA from 1 species